UCUGAAUCAAACAGAGCAGGGAACUGAAUCAAAUACGUCUCCAGUCAUUUCUGCCUCAAUGUCCGACAAGCGAAGCAGCUGCCUUGGAGGAGCCCAGAGUGUUCUGAGCAAAAACUUACAGUACAAAGGAAGAAAGACCCAGGGGAUUUGCAGCCUCAUGAUUCCCAGAGGGGUGAGUUCUGCAGUAUCUCAGCACCCCACAGACAUGAAUGGAUUUAGUCUGGGAUGUUCAAAGGAACCCAAGGGAGUUAGGGACCCAUGUCCUGUUGAAUUUCAGUGAAGUUUGGCUACCUGGAUCCUGUAGCUGUCUUUGGCAAUCCCAACCUUGAAUUCAACAGACCAUGGGUUCCUAACCUGCUGGCCUCAGGAGAAUGCUACCGAGCAGUGGUUAGUGGGGCAGCCCCUGGAAGAUGGGAAAUGCAGCCCUCUGCACAUCAUGGACUCCCGGCUGGGGGACUCAGGCAGCUACCUCUGUGCAGUGAGAGCAGAGUGAGGUGAGUCUGUUAUAUUUGAGACUUUGAGAGUGUGCAUUUGUGUUUGAUCUGCAAGUGAGUGAUUUUGGUAUAUGUGCUAGUUUGUGUGUGAGUGUGUCAUUUUGUGAGUGUGGCAAUGAGAGAAUUUGGGACGUGUGUGUGUGAGUGACUGUAGGUGUUUGAUGUACGUAAGAGCAACUUCGGUAUAUUUGUGAUUCUGGGUGUGAGGGGCUUUGCGUGAAUUGUGAGUUCACAUAUGUAUGAAUUUGUGUAUGUAAGAGAGAGGGAAAGAGAGAGCCUUUGUGAGUUUGUGUGUGUGACAGAUUUUGUGUGUGUCUGUGAAACACAUAAGUAGUUGUGUGUCUAAACAACAUUUCAAUGCCCAGACUGAAAUGAGGAUGUGCCUUUAUAUUUAAUAGUAAAACAGUGGUGGAAAACUCCUGCACAUAUUCCAUUAAUUCCUGCAGCUGUCAAAUUGGAAAGAAAUGUCCGCCAGGUGGCAGCACGUGAUCACAAGCCUGUUUGCUUUCAGCCCGGGGUUUGCCCCAUUUUUAUCACAAUUUCCUUUCAGAUCAACCCAGCAGGGCCUGAGGAAGCUCUGUUUUUAGGUAAAGGGGAACCGUCCACUUUCAAUGCAGUUUAUAGUUCCUUGUGACUUGAAAAGGCAGGCUGAGAUUUUGAAAUCAGCCUACAGGAAUUAGAUGUCUGAUUCCCAUUAAAAUUAAUGCAGACUGAGCAUCCACGUUGUGAUUUCCAAAAUAGCCCAAGGAAUUUAUAUGCCCAAAUCCUCUCUUGAUUUUUAAUGGAAUACGAUAAUCUAAAUCCUCGAGGCCCUUUUGAAAAUGCCAGCCGCAAUAUAAAUCUGGGAACUCUCUUUCCAGGAAUGACUCAGCUCUUCUGCCCAUAUGGUGAUGUUUGUCCCUAUGCAGAGGGGCCAGUGCGAGCCCCAGGUGCCAGUUAAGUCCAUACACUGAAAGCUCAAGUGCGGGUUAAGUGUCAACCCAGGAUGGAAUUUCAGCUGGAUUUCCAAAGGAGCCUAGGGAUGUAGAUGCCAAGCAUUCAUUGAUUUUAAUUAGAAUUGGGGUCCCUAACUCCAGAAGGAAUCCAUCCCAGCCUCCCCCACCCCCCGUGAGAUAUCAAUAGAUUGCUUGAUGCAUGGAUCCUAAAGUGAGAAGAGACCUUUGUGAUCAUCUAACACAAUGCGUUAACAGAGGCCAGAGAAUUAUAAUUGUGAUUCUUGUACCCAACCCAUACCUUGUGGUUGACUAGAGGAGAGACACCCAGUCUUGAUUUCGAGAUUUCAAAAGAUGGAGAAUCCACCAUGUCCCCGGGUAAGUUGUUUCAGUGUUUAAUUACCCUCACUGUUAAAAAUGUGCACUUUCUUUCUAGUCUAAAUUUGUCUCUCUCCGGCUUCCAGCCAUGGGAUCUUAUUCUGCUUUUGACUUGUUCCAUCUCCUCUUUGAGGAGAAUUUCUGAGUAACAUUGUGGUGCCGCCUUUUCCCAGAAAUCAGGAAGAGGUUUUCAUCUCCAGGAACCCAACUGUGGCAGGUCUCACCCCACUUCAUAGCCCUCCCCCCACCGCCACACCCCUUUCCUGCCCGUGGUCGCCUCCUAACUUCACCUGCAGGAGUCAGUUUCUUACAGUAGCAGAGAGGUGUCAGGUUUUUGUUCAGGGCUCCCUAUGAAUUUCAACACAGUGUCUCUACUGAAAGCGCAGAAGUACAUGGCCGCGUCCCCCAACUCCAGAGCUGUGAUCCUCAUACUGACAGAGCGUCUGGACUUCUCCAGAUUAACAGAGAAUCUCUUCCCGGCCUCAUUCCUCUUUGUUCCUCCAGAAUAUUGCCAAGAAAGGAAAAGAAGGCUUUCCCCAGCGGGCUGUUUGUACCAAUACAAAUAAUAACUGCUAGCAGCUGUUUCAUAAGUGCAGUCCAGGGAAACGGACUGGCGCUCCACCCCUGACACUGAAGGCUGGGUCUGAGUUACAGCAUCUUCCAUGCUGGAGCCUGGCACAAGGAGAGGGGAAAGAGAGGUUAGUCGGAGGAUGCUGACACUGAGGGGAGUUCUUUGUUCAAGGAGUUUUUAAGGAUCUGCAGGGAUUUCAUGGAAUCACAGAAAUGUCAGGCUGACCUCAAGAGGUCGUGCAGUGCUCCCCCCCCCCCCCGGCCAUGAGAUCAUCCCUGCCUGACAGGUGUUUGUCUAACCUGAUCUUCAAACCCUCCAGCGAUGGGGAUCCCACAGCCUCCCUACUUAAUCUGUCUGGAGCUCCACUCUCCUUAUAGUUAGAAAGGUUUUCCUAACAUCUAAUCUAAAUCUCCCUUCCUGCAAACUAAGCCAGUUAUUUCUUGUCCCACACUCUGUGGACAAGGAGAACAACAGAUCACCCUCCCCUUUAUUUAGACUCCCAGAAUCCAUUGAAAUUCAAUUCCAGUGGUAUUUGGGUACCUAAAUCCCUGCCUGAGAGCAUCCCUUAUUGCAGAAGAGGAGGAAGGUCUGUUUAAUCUCUCAGCGCCAGUAAUGAAGGGGGAGGCAGGUGGAGAAUCUUUCAGAAAUGGGAUAUGGAAUUUUACUCACUGAAAAGCCAAAUCAGCACAAUGGCUGAGCCCGGGAUCGUGACCAUCCCCCCAGCGUCUCGGCUCUUCUGCAGGGCGCUGCCGCUUUUCUCUCCAGCCAGCCUGGGAGAGAGUCACCCAGGCGGCAGCUCUUCUCCUCCACCUGCAGCCCUGGGCCGAGGGAGGCGAGAGAGCCGGUGUCUGAAUGGUGACGGUUAGACAUCAGGCAGUGAUGUCACAGUUGGAGGUGGGGCCAAGCAUGAGCCUCCCCUCCCCUCAAUACCUGCCCUGCCGCUGAGCCCACAGGUGCUGGAACUAAGGGUGCUGGGGGGAGAGCGGGGGCUGCUGCACCCCCUGGCUUGAAGUGGUUUCCAUCAGAUCCAGGGUUUACAGUUUGGUUCAGUGGUUCUCAGCACCCCACUGUACACAUUGUUCCAGAGCCCCUGGCUGAGCCCCCCACAUGCCUCACCACGUAUGAGGGGCUUGCAGGAGAACUCGACCACGGGACACCAGAGGCUGGAAUAAACUGGUGCGCCCUGUCUGUGGAGAGCCACGCUGACUGUGCUGCGGUGCCUUCUGGAGGAGAACAGCCCAAACCGCAGCCAGAGCCAGGGCCAGCCGGAAACUGACCCAUCAUCUCUGUCCCAAGGGAGCUGCGCUUCCCAAAAGCUGGGGGCGUUUUUCCCUUCGCUGCCGGUGGCUUUUUUCAUUGCUGCAAACGGUGGAUGAUGCCAUGUGGUCCAGAGAAGGGACUUUUCCCUGUAAAAUUCCAUUUCCUAAAGAAAAAUUCCCCUCCAGAAUUAACCCGUUGCUUUUAAUGUGUGUGGCCAUAGGUUUUAAGGAGUGUCAAGCAGGAAAGAAAAGCACUAGGACUCCCAGCCCUAUAUCUGGUUACGUCAGUGAAUGUAAACCCACAGUAAACAGUAAACCCAUCCGAUGAAGUGAGCUGUAGCUCACGAAAGCUCAUGCUCAAAUAAACUGGUUAGUCUCUAAGGUGCCACAAGUACUCCUUUUCUUUAAACCCACAGUGGUGCCAAUAAAGUCACCGUAUUUGAUAAGCAGAGUGGUCUGGUGCAUAACCAGCUGGAAUGGGGUUCAGGGCUGCUAGGUUCUUUCCCUCCCCCUCCCUUUGACUCUCUUUCCACUUUCUGCCUUUCUCUCUUUAGCCCCUAUAGCUUGUGAGCUCUUGGGGGCAGGGACUUUCUCUGUGUCUUCAUACACCAGCUGGGGAUCUGGCCCAUUGACUCCAGCUGAGCUAUGACAUAUUCACACCAGCUGGGGACCUCUGUGCCUGCAUCUCCCCCACCAUGCUGCCUUGCAGAGAAUGAGGGCUUUUAAGCCCAGCUUGGGUUGCUGUGCCUCCACCCCACACAAGUAGGGGCCUGAGUUCCCCAGCUGGGACUCCGAGCUGUGCCGAGAGCUGCUUUUCAAAUCCUCCAGGAGCUCGCCCAUGAACCACCCAUCAGUGGCUUCCUCUCUACCAUUGACAGUCAACGGUGGGAGAGCCCUCUCUGGGGGAGCAGCUGGUACCAGUGGAAGGUUUGGUAAGCGCUGGUGUAAGUACAGGUCACGGUGGAGAUGUCGCCUUCCUAAACAACCAGUGACUCAGGUCUCUGAACCAACUGGGCCUCACAGCAGGAGGCUGCAGGGAAAUAUAACGAUAGCAACUAAAAUAAUGUAUAUUAGAGUGUUACAGUACCUGUUUAACCUAAUGUCUGUCUAUCCACCAGACGCUGGGAAUGGGUGACAGGGGAUGGAUCACUGGAUGAUUCCUGUUCUGUGCAUUCCCUCUGGGGCAUCUGGCAGCUGGCCACUGUCAGAAGAUAGGACACUGGGCUAGAUGGACCUUUGCUCUGACCCACUAUGGCAGUUCUUAUGUUGUUCUGUCUCUCUCCCUGUCUAUCUGUGCAUCUAUUUACCUUUCUUUCUGCUGUUGCCUCUCUCUAAUUUCUGAAUGCUCCUAUCUAUCCACGUCUAUCUGUCCUGCCAUGUGUAUCAUCUAUCCAUACAUCAAUCUGUUGUAAAAUACACAAUUUCCAGUAAUAGCUAGCGUCAGUUUCGUAAGCGCAAUCCAAGGUCACAGACCCACUCUCCACGCCCGACGCCGCCGGCUGGGUCUGCGUUACCGCAUCUUCCAUGCUGGAGCCUGUUACACAGAGCGGGUGAGGGAGAGGUUAGUCGUAGAAUGUUGCCCCUGACUUGAUUUAUGGAGCGCAUCCCUCAUUGAUUAUCCUGAUGAUGAUAAUAAUCUUCUUCGUCAUCGUCAUCUUGGAUCAGGCACUGACACUUAUUUUCGUUGCACAGCACCUACCCCGAGGUGGAAAUCAUUGGCUGUUGCUGCUGAUUAAUUAUUGAAGUCGUGUUAGCUCUCAAGCUGCUGCAUGGCCCUCGACAUGACAACCGACGUGUCUGUGACUUCUCUGCUGCAGAAAAGCAAAGAGUGUUUCCUGAUUGAUUGUAGAUUGGCACCAGAGCCAAACUUCCUGGCAGAGUUAACCACUGAUUGAGUGACACCACCACUCCACUGGCAGAUUGCAAUCAGAACUGGCUAAAAGGGGGGCCCUCCCACCUGAGCUCCUCCACCUGCCCCCUGCAGAACAGCGCCCCCUAGUGUCACACUGGGGUCAGAACUAGCUCUCAGGGAAGAGAGCCCCAUAAAGAGCCCCCACCCUGCUGCCUGCAGCACAGCGCCCCCUACCACCCUGCUGGGGCGCGGAGGCCAGCCCUGAGUCACCCACACCAUCCCAUGAAUUAUCAGGUGUCCCAUCCAAAUCCGAUGUAAAGACUUCAAGGGAUGGAGAAGAAUCCCUCAUGCUCAAAGGCAGGUUGUUGCUACAGUGAACUAACCUCACUGUUAAAAAAUGUUUGCCUUUGGUCUGGCCUUUGGUCACGUAGCAUAUAUGAAAACGAAUUACACAUUCAGAGCUGCUGUCGGUACCAUUUAUUAACUUUUGAUAUUAUAGUAGCACCCAGAAACCCAAUUGAGAUCAAAGCCUUAUUUUGCUGGGCACUGCACGGAUAUAUAGAGACAGUCCCUGCCCUAAGAAACUUACACUCUAAAUAGAAAAGACAGACAGAGAAAGUAUUAUUCGCCACCGCCAUUAUACCGAUGGGGAACUGAAACCCAGGGAGAUUAGGGUCGGAUUUUUUCCAAGGUGCCUAUGGGAGAUAAGCAUCUAAUUCCUAUAAAAUGCUCUGACAAUCUUGGCUCUGGCCUCCUACGUGACCUUGCACGAGUCGCUUCUUUGUACGGCGCCUAACACCACCAGACCCAAUUUAGCAAUAAUAAGAAAGUUUCAAAGGGGAUUGGGCAGCGUCAUAGGCUGGCCGGCCCUUUGCAGCAAG